UAACGGGGCUAAACCAUGCACCGAAGCUGCGGCAGCGAACGUAUCACCCAAGACAACUUUACGGAGUUGACGAUUGACGGAGCGAAGCGACGUCAAAGCGUUCAUUAAAGUCGAGUUGGCUUAGGGAUACGUUCGUUGGGUAGGGGAGCGUUCUGUAAGCCUGUGAAGGUGUGUCGUGAGGCAUGCUGGAGGUAUCAGAAGUGCGAAUGCUGACAUAAGUAACGAUAAAGCGGGUGAAAAGCCCGCUCGCCGGAAGACCAAGGGUUCCUGUCCAACGUUAAUCGGGGCAGGGUGAGUCGACCCCUAAGGCGAGGCCGAAAGGCGUAGUCGAUGGGAAACGGGUUAAUAUUCCCGUACUUGGUGUUACUGCGAAGGGGGGACGGAGAAGGCUAUGUUGGCCGGGCGACGGUUGUCCCGGUUUAAGCGUGUAGGUGUGUGUUCCAGGUAAAUCCGGUUCACUUUAACACUGAGGCGUGACGACGAGGCACUACGGUGCUGAAGCAACAAAUGCCCUGCUUCCAGGAAAAGCCUCUAAGCAUCAGGUAACAC
rnacentral:rRNA from 1 species